GCGGCAGUCGCUCAGUGGUAAAGCCCCGCCUCGCAUGCGGGGAGACGUGGGUUCGAUUCCCGGCUGCUUCC
rfam:Toxocara canis scaffold590, whole genome shotgun sequence.